rnacentral:rRNA from 1 species
GAAAAAGAACCUGAAACCGUGUACGUACAAGCAGUGGGAGCACCUUCGGGUGUGACUGCGUACCUUUUGUAUAAUGGGUCAGCGACUUAUAUUCUGUAGCAAGGUUAACCGUAUAGGGGAGCCGCAGGGAAACCGAGUCUUAACUGGGCGUUAAGUUGCAGGGUAUAGACCCGAAACCCGGUGAUCUAGCCAUGGGCAGGUUGAAGGUUGGGUAACACUAACUGGAGGACCGAACCGACUAAUGUUGAAAAAUUAGCGGAUGACUUGUGGCUGGGGGUGAAAGGCCAAUCAAACCGGGAGAUAGCUGGUUCUCCCCGAAAGCUAUUUAGGUAGCGCCUCGUGAACUCAUCUUCGGGGGUAGAGCACUGUUUCGGCUAGGGGGUCAUCCCGACUUACCAACCCGAUGCAAACUACGAAUACCGAAGAAUGUUAUCACGGGAGACACACGGCGGGUGCUAACGUCCGUCGUGAAGAGGGAAACAACCCAGACCGCCAGCUAAGGUCCCAAAGUCAUGGUUAAGUGGGAAACGAUGUGGGAAGGCACAGACAGCCAGGAUGUUGGCUUAGAAGCAGCCAUCAUUUAAAGAAAGCGUAAUAGCUCACUGGUCGAGUCGGCCUGCGCGGAAGAUGUAACGGGGCUAAACCAUGCACCGAAGCUGCGGCAGCGACACUAUGUGUUGUUGGGUAGGGGAGCGUUCUGUAAGCCUGCGAAGGUGACCUGUGAGGGUUGCUGGAGGUAUCAGAAGUGCGAAUGCUGACAUAAGUAACGAUAAAGCGGGUGAAAAGCCCGCUCGCCGGAAGACCAAGGGUUCCUGUCCAACGUUAAUCGGGGCAGGGUGAGUCGACCCCUAAGGCGAGGCCGAAAGGCGUAGUCGAUGGGAAACAGGUUAAUAUUCCUGUACUUGGUGUUACUGCGAAGGGGGGACGGAGAAGGCUAUGUUAGCCGGGCGACGGUUGUCCCGGUUUAAGCAUGUAGGCUGAUUGUCCAGGCAAAUCCGGAUAAUCAAGGCUGAGGUGUGAUGACGAGGCACUACGGUGCUGAAGUAACAAAUGCCCUGCUUCCAGGAAAAGCCUCUAAG